CCUGAGCCAAAAUGUGAGAACUUGACUGCCCUGAGACUGCCAUGCCAUAGAGCCACAAGAACACGCUGUGGUCAGUGUUCCGGCCAAGCCCACGAAGGCUCUAGACGUGUGAGUGGAGCCAUGUUGGACUCUCCAGAUAAGGCCUCUGCCAGCUGACCACCACUGGACUGACCUCAGUUGAUGCCACGUGGAGCAUAAAAAUUGUCCAGUUGAACUCUCCUGAAUUCCUGGCCCACAAAGUCAUGGAACAGUGGUUUUAACCCACUGAGUUCUGGGGAAAUUUAUUAUGCAGUGAUAGCUGUGCUGGUGAUUGCUAGAGACAUCAAACUAGUACUUCAGCUUGAACUUCAGUUCUUCCAAGCAGAUUCUCAAAGAGCACCAAAACAAGUGAGGCAAAACUGAUAAAACUGCAAGGAGAAACUGCAAGAAGAUGAAUCCACUAUUUUAGUUGGAGACUUUAACACCCUUCAUCAGAAAUGGACAGAUCCAGCAAGCAGAAAAUCAGCAAGGACACUUGAACUCAACAGCACCAUUAAUCAACUAGGUAUAAUUCACAUCUGUAGACCAUUUCAUCCACUGACAGUGGAACACUCAUUCUUCUCAAGCUCAUGUGGAACAUUUACCAAGAUUGACCACAUUCUGGGUCAUAAAACACACUUUAACAUUUGUCAAAGAAUAGAAAUCAUACAACGUCCACUCUCAGACCGCAAUGGAACUAAACUAGAAAUCAAGAACAGAAAGAUAUCUGGAAAAUCCCCAAAUACUUGACUAUUAAGUGGUAUACAUGUAAAUAACAUGUGGUUCAAAGAAAAAAAUCUCAGGGGAAAUUUAAAGAUAUUUUGAACUGAAUGAAAAUGAAAAUAUAAUUUGUUAAAAUAUGUGGAAUGCAGCAAAAGCAG